GACUCUCGGCAACGGAUAUCUCGGCUCUCGCAUCGAUGAAGAACGUAGCGAAAUGCGAUACUUGGUGUGAAUUGCAGAAUCCCGUGAACCAUCGAGUCUUUGAACGCAAGUUGCGCCCGAAGCCGUCAGGCCGAGGGCACGCCUGCCUGGGCGUCGCAC
rnacentral:rRNA from 6 species